UUCUCUCUCAGUUUCCCCUUCCAGUUCUUCUCUUUUGCUCUCUCUGCCUAAUCUUUGUCUCUUUAACUAAUUCAAGUUCUUGAUUUCUUUGCUGUGCUUGAGUAAUUUGUAAAAAUAGUGUAGAGAGUGUAAAGAUGUUCACAGAGGGUUCAGAUGAAAAUGCAAUCAACUGGAUCAAGAAGGGGACGGAUACGGAUCAAGAACCCUGCAUCAGAUCUCCCUUUAACAAGAAUCUACCUCUUGAUACAUUUCCGAAAUCUUCUCUUUCCUACAAUACUCCUACUGCUUUCAUGUCUCCUCAUGGGCUGCCACCAUUGAGAUUCCACUCUGCCUUCUUAACUCCUCACAGCCUUGCGGCUUCUUGCCUCGAUGAUGAAGACAAGAGAGUGACGAUUCAGUUUCUGAUGGUGCCCGUGGUAGCUUCUCUGUGCGUAAAGAAGAGGAGGAGGAGGUUUUGGGACCUAGACAGGAUAAUGAUGAAGAGGAGGUUCUUGGUAACAAGUAUAGGUCAAAGUUAAAUGGAGGGUUCUUGAAGGAAAAGAAUUUGAGGAUUGAGAUCCCGGCAGUAACAGAAGAUUAACAGAUGGCGAGUUGGGGAUGAGGAAAUUUGCCAUCAAGAAUUCGUUCCCAGGUGGUAGCGCUCGGCUUGGAGAAGGAGUUCAAUCACCCAAUGCCCAGGUUACUCCUGUCGACUCUAAAAGCAUUCAUGUAGAGGUAGAACAUACGGGUACGACCAAAGUGCACCACCUAUAAUUGAGAUUGAAAGAGAAGUGAAGAGCUUUGCAGAAGUUGAGCAACAUUAAGUAAGAAUUUCCAAGGAGAGGGAAUCAGAAUUUGAUGGUAGGAAAGAAUGUUCAGCAGAUGAUAGCAAGAUGCAAGCUUUAAAAGACACUGGUAGCGAGAGAGUGGACCUAUUGUGGAAACUCUAGCAUAUGAUUUGCUUUUGGAGGAUGCUAUGCGUGCACUACAUUUUCAUUCCCGGAACUUGAGGUUGCAUGGACCUUUGAAAUGUUACCUCUCACAUGUUAUGGAUGUAACUACUCCGACAAAGAACUGCCUAGAGCUUGUGAAUGAGUUACUUGUACUCAUUUUAAAGGUAAAAGAGUGAGAGAAAUUAGACAAGGCAGGAGGUAUGCCUCUCCAGAUUUCAAUAUUUUCUCGGGAAGUUUGAAAUACUGUAGCUGUUGAGUAAUUAUUUGUCUCCUUAGUUUUUGGUAAUAUUUGGUUUCAUUGCUGGGAAAGAGAAAUAAGCAUGACUUUGUUUUCCUGAUUUGAUGAUAACGUUUCACGGAAGGUUUUAUGAAGCUGCUUUCUUACAAUUAUUUUCACGUGCCUUGAUGUUUGACAUCUAUAUUAGAAGUAUAUCAUAUCCGGAUGUUCUUAUGAUGAAAAGACACAUUCUGCUGGUCAUAUUUUGUAAACAUGGUGUAAUGUCUCCUUAGUUUUUGAUAAUAUUUGGUUUCAUUGCUGGGAAAGAGAAAUAAGCAUGACGUUGUUUUCCUGAUUUGAUAAUAACGUUUCACGGAAGGUUUUAUGAAGCUGCUUUCUUACAAUUAUUUUCACGUGCCUUGAUGUUUGACAUCUAUAUUAGAAGUAUAUCAUAUCCGGAUGUUCUUAUAAUGAAAAGACACAUUCUGCUGGUCAUAUUUUGUUAACAUGGUGUAAUGGCUGCCAAGGAGCUAACAAAGUUCAGAAGUAAAAGCUUAUAUCCUUUGAGACACACAUAGCUAGCUGGAUAAAGAUUAACAGUACAAGAAAUUUACAAGUGAUUGUGCUAGCAUAUUGUCAGGUACCUUUGAUAUGUACCUGGUGCAUGUUAAAGUGUAAACAGAUGAGAGAAAAGAUUAUAAAAGAAAUGAGAAGACUACAGGAGAGAAGGAAGGAGAAAGGCUAAGCAGACCCGAGAAAGAUUUGAAUUAGAAGAAUCUUUUCUUUGCAUUAAGACUUACCGUGGUGAUAAAAUGUUCUACAGAAUACAUAUAGCCUACAAAAACUAGAAAAAUCACAAAAGUCCCUGCAUGGGUUGGGUCCCUUAUCUCUUGAUUUGGGGGAGCUACUUAAUAAAAUUCAUUAAGAUGUGGGGCUAGGUUGGAUUGAGAGAGUGGUUAUAGAAAUCCAACGGUGGAAACUUUCUGUUUUACAUCUCUGGCAUGUCUCACAUUUUUGCACUUAUUCCACUACAUUUUCUUUCAUAGCAGACCAGAAAAAUUGUUAUUUGAGGAGUUCAUAAAUGUCUCUGAUUCUCUGUCAUGGCACCUUUGGAUUAGUUUCUCCUAAUUCUCCUAAUGUUUUAAUGACCAACCUAUCCUUGUAUCUCAAUAUUCUUGCCUUGAGUUGAUAGCAUGGUAGGGCAUCCUUCUUAAUUAGAAAUUGUUUCAUUAGUUCUUCAGUAAGAGGAUCUCCGUGGUAGCUUGUCGUGAUUUUUGCGAGCCCAGAGGGUGAAUUAGCGGUAACUGCCGAUAGCUUUACCACCUCCUCUUUUUUCUUCUGAUUUUCAUAUUUUCUUCUGGAGAGUGCAUUAAUCAUCUUGUUUUUUACACCUUCUUUUGUACUAAAUAGAGUAGUUCAAUCCCAACAAUUUUACAAUUUCCUUUUGUUGCAGCAUGAAAGUUACCAUUUGUUCCAUUAGGUGUUUAAAACUUUUUUUAUCUGUUUUUAUGAUAAAGGGAGCAUCUUCCAAGUAAUGUCUCCAUUUGCUAACUGCAUAACGGAUGACAAAUAGCUGUUUUUAUGAUAAAGGGAGCAUCUUCCAAGUAAUGCCUCCAUUUGCUAACUGCAUAGAAGAUGACAAAUAGCUCUUUUUUGUAAAUCAAUAGCUUUUGAUUCUUUUUAUAGAAGCCCUUGCUAAUAUAGACAAUAGGUUUUUUUCUUGUACAAGUACAAGCUCUACUCCUUCACAAACAUCAGCUUCCAGAUUUAAUUAUUUAAAAUAUAUCCUGAGAAGCCCUAUCAAACCCUUACAUUUGAUCUAAAGAAUAAUAAAGUUAAGAAAAGUGUUCUGUGUGGCAGUAAAGAGGAGUUCUCUUAAGCCCUUAGGUUUCAUUAGUUACCCUCGCCAAAGAAGUUACUGACUGAGACAAGUAUUAUAUGCUUUUGUAGUGAGAGUUGGAUUAAAACAUGAUACAUUGGGGGAUAAAAGAUUA